rnacentral:rRNA from 1 species
CCUACGGGAGGCAGCAGUGGGGAAUAUUGCACAAUGGGGGAAACCCUGAUGCAGCGACGCCGCGUGAGUGAAGAAGUAUCUCGGUACGUAAAGCUCUAUCAGCAGGGAAGAAAAUGACGGUACAUGACUAAGAAGCCCCGGCUAACUACGUGCCAGAAGCCGAGGUAAUACGGAGGGGGCAAGCGUUAUCCGGAUUUACUGGGUGUAAAGGGAGCGUAGACGGCAGCGCAAGUCUGAAGGUGAAUCCCAUGGCUUAACCAUGGAACUGCUUUGGAAACUGUGCGGAUGGAGUGAAGGAGAGGUAAGCGGAAUGCCGGGUGUAGCGGUGAAAUGCGUAGAUAUUAGGAGGAACACCAGUGGCGAAGGCGGCUUACUGGACUUUAACUGACGUUGAGGCUCGAAAGCGUGGGGAGCAAACAGGAUUAGAUACCCCUGUAGUC